UGGAAGCGGAGAGAAACUGCCUGGAACUGGAAGGACUACGUCCACAAAUGCCAAGGGGCGGUGUACAGGAAGUCUGAGUGCUGGCUGCCAGAGGAUUGCGUAGUAGAAGGUGCACAAACCAGGAGAGGACACAACACAGGGGACGGUCAGGAGAACAACCAGGAGCUACAGCCACUGAAUGAGGAAAACACACACAACAUUAACACUAACAAUAUGGAAACACUAAGAACAGCAGGUCUACACCACCAGAACAGUCUGUUCUCUGACCAGCUACGAGGUGAAAACAUAGGAAAGGAUGAAGGAUUUUCAUCCAUCCAAAAAGGUUUUUAACCAGGUGGCUCCAGAAAAACAGCUUUUAUUAAAAAAAAAAA